rnacentral:rRNA from 1 species
AUUGAACGCUGGCGGCAGGCCUAACACAUGCAAGUCGAGCGAGUGGCGGACGGGUGAGUAAUGUCUGGGAAACUGCCCGAUAGAGGGGGAUAACUACUGGAAACGGUAGCUAAUACCGCAUACCAUCGGAUGUGCCCAGAUGGGAUUAGCUAGUAGGUGGGGUAACGGCUCACCUAGGCGACGAUCCCUAGCUGGUCUGAGAGGAUGACCAGCCACACUGGAACUGAGACACGGUCCAGACUCCUACGGGAGGCAGCAGUGGGGAAUAUUGCACAAUGGGCGCAAGCCUGAUGCAGCCAUGCCGCGUGUAUGAAGAAGGCCUUAGGGUUGUAAAGUACUUUCAGCGGGGAGGCGUUACUCGCAGAAGAAGCACCGGCUAACUCCGUGCCAGCAGCCGCGGUAAUUC